rnacentral:misc_RNA from 1 species
UCACGAUGUGGUUAGAUCAGCCAAAAUUGAAAAGAAAAUUACAAGGAUAACAAAGUAAAAUAAAAAGGGAACAAAAAGUUAUCAGCGUAAAUACAACCCUCUUGAAACGGGGUAUGACACAAAUUUCACUUACAUACCAUCCUAGUUCUCCGAUUGUUGAAAGUGGACCCAAUAUGAAAUUUAGGAAGAUAUGAGAGGAACAAAUCCUAAAAUUGUAAAGGUCAGCUUCGAUAAAUGUAAACUACAUGCUAUGCAAAAUGACUCCUGUUACUAAUUGGUUAGGGUAAGCUCCUGAAAAGCGGCUUUUUUAAACGGGGAGUGACCACACUACGCAUGGUCUGUUUGUCCAGUCUUUUGUGUAUCAUUGCCCAAAUGUUGGUCAUUCCUGCCAGCCCUAAAUUCUUCGUGCCCAGGAAAUUCCCCAAGCCUCUCCUGCAUUAAUACACAAACCAAAAUGAGUCAGACUAGCAAUUUUAUUCGAAGGAUAGAUUUUGGUAACUCUAAACAUUCCGUCUCAUAACAGCAUUAAAAUGGGUCUGUUGCCCAUAUCUGGAGCCUUUCCAUUGUCCAAGAAGACAUGCUUUGUUGUGACUGUCUUGAGUGCCAUUUGCAAAGAUGAUCAUUUUCAACCAACCGCAAACCACACUAUAAUGAAAUCAAUCUUUUUGUUGUUUUUAAAUCAGUGUAAAUAAAAAUAAAAGGCACUUUCAUUGAAAAUUAUUCCCGAUUGUUCAUUGAUCAAAUUUCCCAACUUGAAUUUCCUGCAUAGUUCUGCCCACCACUGGAUCAGCUGCUCUCUUCUGAGUAAAAUUUUUCAGGGCUUGUAACUGUAAUGACACAAAUGAUCUGGCUGACUAGUUCUUCAUUGUAUACCCAGUGCAGGGAGGUAGGUAUGAUCACUAAAGUUGGGGAAAAAAAAAGGAACCAAUAUCAAACUGAUCAAACCAGGAAAGAGCAUCACCUUGAGAGAUGCAUUUUCUGCAAGAAGUUGCUCAUACUCGCCCUUGAUCCGGUUUACUUCUGAUCUCAGAUUGGAAUUUUCUUCUUUUAGGGCUUCAGCACGCUGGGCCAACUCAUCACAUUCGGCCUGUUUACGCAACCUAGAACGGCGAGCAGAUUCUCUGUUUGACUGUUUUCGCCUCUGUCGCUUCACCUCUCUUUCAUCCUGUAACCAAAUCUGCGAUUGAACAGUAUCCCGAGAUCCAGUAGAAACAAUUCCUCCAGCUACUGGAGUAUUUGGAACCUUCCCAUGGAUUGCAGGGAUAGCAGAUGAAGCUGGGGCUCCCCAGUAGUCCAUUCCAAUAUUUAAGUUGGUUGUGGGACCAGGUAGAGCUCCUGGGGCACCAGUAGCCGGUAUUGGCAUGACGGACAUUGUCUGGUUCAUGAUUGUAUUAGGCAUACUCUGUCCUACGUUCUGAGGGCAAUGCACAGAACCACCAUUCUGAGAUGCAUCAGCUUCAACAGAAUCUUGCCUUCCACCUGACAUCAUUUGUGAGUCAUUCUGAGAAUUUGCAUCACUUCCUUCACUUGUACCUUCACUUGCACUCUCAGCACUUUUAGAAUAAGCUCCAUUAGCAGACGCUCCAGAUGUUUUACCAAUCUCAUUACUCUUCCCUGUAAUCAUGUUUAAACUGCCCAAACUUCCUUUGGACCUUUUAAUGGGCAAUUUUUCCUUCACGUCAGAUGGCUUUCCAUCAGCUUCUGUGCUACCAGGUGUAUAUCCAGAUGUCUCAUUGAUACCAUUCGGUGAAGGCAUUGCAAAAGGACUAAAAGGGUAAGAUCCCGGAGGAAUAGAUGGAUGAGCAUAUAAGCCACCAUGAGGAUACAUUGCAACAUAUGGAUGUGGUGGCGUACCAUAUGGAGGCAUGAUAUGCUGAACCCCCCACAUAUAAGGAUGAGCUUGGGGACUUGAUGCCAAGAACCCAUGUGGAGGUAUAGGAGAGUAUGCCUGAAAUCCCGUCCAGUCAGGAUUUACAGCACCAGUGCUGGUGGUUGAAGACUGCUCCUGCGCAGUGGUGCCAGCAAGGGCCUUUGCCUCUUUCUCCUUUGCUGGUUUAUCCAUAUCACUGCUGCCCAUAGUUAAACAAUCUUUUCAAUAAUUCUUCAAACCAUCCUACAAUAAAACCAACAUUAUCAUCACAAUAGGGACUUCUUACCCGUUAUGCACAGGUAAACAACUCAAAGUAGACCCUAUCCUGAAAUUGCUAAGAAAAAGAAUCAGCAGUGCCAAAAUUUGCUGCAAACAUUUCCAACCCAUGAAAAGGAAGCAUCUAAUAAGUUCAACAGAUUCCGAGCAAACAAGCAAAUUCGCAUAAGGGCUUAUACAUAGAUACGAAUACUAUUUGCAAAAUAGAAUAAUUCGACAACUUCAAAUUAAUAACUGAAGAUACAAACUAUUGAUUGUAUAAAGGAAGAUAUGCUAUCAUGCAUAUAGAGAGAAAUUUUACCUGCAGACUUAAAAGCGUAUCACUUAACCGAAAACCAACAAAACAAAACCUUAAUUCGAUUGAUGGAAACCUGUCAGUUGUUAGAACCUCAAAAGAGCAAAAUCGAAUCCUGAUCCACUGAAAGAGUAAGAAAUGUAAGAAAUUGAUAACCGAAAACGACAAUGGAGGCUACAGAAGUCAAUCAAGAAAAGACUAGGAGAUAAUAAUGGAGGAGCAUUGACAAAAAUAAAAAACAAAAAUCAAAAUUAAGGUGAGAAUUUGGGGGAGAUCGGAAACUAGGGUUUGUUGGGAUUACGGGUGAGUUAUUGGUGUAGAUGUUGGAGGUUCACGGCUCACAUUCUGUGGUCUUCAUACUGUAGUCGCUGAUGCAGAGGAAAGAAAAUCCUUUCCUCAAUUGCAGUCCACUUCCACUAGGUCUAGCUAGGUGAGCGAUUUCCAAAUUUAUGAUGAUGGGGCGAUGGCCAUUGGUUGUGAUUACGGUGAAUCGUUGAUGGUUGGAGGAAGCUGAAAUUUUUGUAGGGACUAGAGAUGGCUUUUUU